ensembl:lncRNA
UCUCUGCCCUUUGCUGCUUCUGUGACCUUUCAACACCCCACCCCCACCCCCAGGACAAACUGGUAAUGCCUUGGGAGCCCACAUGUCCUGUCCCUGGUCGUUUACAGCCUGAGGCGCACUGGCUUAGGUUAGAGCUACUUUAAGCCAGGGGACCCAAUUGGCCUCCAGGCUAGUUUUGGUUUUAGGGAAUUUGCACGAGGGACACCUCUGUAUGGCCUGCACACUCUCAGCUGGACGACAGGCCUUUCUCUGCUGGCCUGGGGCACACAUUUUUUUCAGUUGCCUCACCCUGUAGGCACUUAAGUUUGCAAUUCUUGCUCCAAAGCCAUUUCCAACAUAUUCCUAAUUGGUCAUCUCACAAUUUUGAUACCCAAGAGACCAGAAAGAAUAUAAAUGCUAGUAAAGCUGCCUAGGUUCAAAUCCCAGCUCUGCCAUAUGCUCUCCGUGUGAAUUUGGGAGAGUUAUCUUCCCACCUUUGAAAAAUGGAGAUGACAAGAAUAGUAUCUACCUUCCACGGGUUCUGGUGGGAACUGAACGAGUUCAUAUGCAGAAAGUGCUUAAAAAUAGGGUCUGGCACAACCAGGAAAGCUGUCAGUGUUCUCAGGAUUCCACUUUCCAGCUGCCAUCUGUACCUAAGUGGGUUGGCUUCACAGUUUUCGCAGGACUCUGGACAAAGGAACAAUGUCUUCAGCAAAUUCUUCCUAUACUUGGUGGGAAGGGAGGGCACCAGCCGAGUUGAGUUUCUGGAAGCCUGUGACUCGGUGCCUGACAUCCUCAGCAGCCCCUUUGGCCUCAGAGGAAGGACAGAGUCUGAGAGGAACAAGCCUCCAAAAGAACCGCCUUUAGAAACCCAGGAGUUUAAGGCUGUGGUUUCCUUGCCCAGGCAUCAGGGCCUGGGGAGCUGCCAGGGCCCUUUCAACUCUCCCGCCCUGCCGAGCCCGGAUGGGAUUGUGUAAGAGCCGCCCUCCACACGCCUGCUCUCUCGUGCAGCACGCCUGGGCCUGCCCGUCCUCCCGGGGAGCCGGGCCAGAAGGCCCUGGUACCCACACAGGUCUGGCCACCCAAAGGCUCCUGCCUGGUUGGGAGAGGGAGGGGGAUAUCUCUUGAAGUUCAAGGCCUAAUCCCAAACUGAUGCCAGACUGGAGUUCUGGGGAGGCUUGGGGAGAGGGGUGUGUGCUGUGUACACGUCCCUGGCCACCCCCUGAGCACACAUGCCCUGGUGUCUCCAGGGAUCUUCUGUCGGCCUGUACCAUUUCCCAGGCCUUCUUCCCUGUAUCCUUGUGUCUGUGUGUGUGUCUGUGUGAGCGUGCCUCCCUGCAUAGCCCAAGCAGGUGUUUUGCUUAAGCUCUGGGUACCGUUUGUGAGUGCAUGGGCCUAGCAUCCCAGUGGCAGGUGAAGGUGCUGGCUAGGGGAGAACAUGUGUGGGCGCACAGCCUGUUGCCCUGGCUGCAAAAGCAGGGCAUCUGGAGAAAGGUUAAUCAGGUAUGUGACCGCGAGAAGGCAUUUAAGGGGGCAUCUCCGCACCUGGCCCCACUUGGAAACUCAGCAAGACAGGAACCAAAAGCGGGCCCCAGCUGAGGACCUCGGUGGUCUGGGCCAGGCCAGAAAUCCCAACCUGGUUAAACUUGAAGCUAGGAGAGGCCGGCUUUUUGACAUCUUGAAGGUUCCUCUUCCCUCUUUCUGUUAAACUCAAAUGGGUCUUUUCUACCUUUCCGUCACCCCUGGCAGAGGAGCCACCCUCAGUCUCGAUUAGAGGGGAGAAGAUAUGAGGGAUGGAGGACACACCACCAGCUCCCCUUCUCACAGCCAAGGGGAGUGCAGGCAAGGUGAUUGAUUGGAUGGUUCCGGGGCUCAGAACACUCAGUGGUGCAACCAGGAAACGCCUGGACACGCUGGAUGGCUGGUUACCCUGGUCUGGUCCUUACUCGUGUGCUGGUAACUAUGGCAUUCCUGCAGAAAUCUGAGACACUGUCAGGAAGAAGGGACCUGCAGCGCUCAGUCCAAGAACAGCUUCCAGCUCUGAUGCUGCCUCUCUGCGAUGGAGAAGCCAGGGUGGCUCCGGGAGCAUUUGGUUUGCAUGUGACAGAGCAGAAGAAUGAAGAAGCUUAGCAGAGAUCACAGAGCCAGUGGGUGACACCGGGAUCGGGCCUCCCGCACCCUCCUGGGAGGGCUCGCAGCUGUGCCGUGCAGCGCAUAGGAAUCCGUUGGUUUCCAGAUCCAGGUUAUAUGCUGUUUAAGCCUCAGGCCAAUCCAGGUAGGUGCCCCAUUUUACAGGAGAGGAAAUGGAGGCCCCCGGAGGGAACUGGCAGGGUGGACACCGGUCAUUCCACGCCACCUGAGCCAUCCACCACCAGUCUCCCCGGACUCCUGCCCUGGCUCCGGAAUGGAUGGCCUGAGUGCUGGCACACUGCUCAGGACAAGAAGGUGUGGUCCAACCCUCCCAGGAACAAGCCCCAGGAGGGCAGAACACGGGGGCCACCGACUGCCUCUCCACCUCUUUCUUGGGACUUGUCAACCUGGGUGUCUCCCCGGCUGAACCCCAGCUGGUCCCUCAGGGGACCCCGCAGCGUGUUGGAAAGAGCCACUACCCAGCCUAGCGCCCCUUCAUUCCCUGAACUGGCUUCCUGGGGAAGGCCACAGGCUCCCAAGGGGCUCACAAGUUUCCAGUGCAAUGGGGACCCUCUUCAAAUUCCAAGCUGCCGUCUGAGGCUCAGAGCCUUUGAGUCCAGCUGAGUUUUGAAGCCCCAGAUGUGCCCGUGCAGGCCUAGAGCUGAGCUAGGGUCAGAUGGAGAGAACUGAAGUGAUUAUGGAAUACGGGGAGGGAGACUGGAGCUCUUGCAGGACACUGGGCAGCAGUCAUUUUGUUCACAUCUGAAUAGGAA